rnacentral:ncRNA from 1 species
ACCAUGUGACUGACGGUGAGUGGGUAACCACAAGGGAGCAUGGGGAUUUUUAGCCGACCGUCUGGGCAAUCU